rnacentral:lncRNA from 10 species
AUGUGGGAGCCUAACUAGGCUCACCCGGCACAUGGAGAGGCCUGUUUCAUCCGAUGAGGAGUCCUGGGUUGCAGGUGUCACACCUUGGAUUCACCAUAGCCAGCAGAAACCAGUGGCAACAGAGACUCCCGAUGAUAACCAGUGGAUUAACCAACAAGACCCAGAUCGCCCCACCUGAAUAGUCCUACGGCGAAACCCAACCACCGGUAAGAAGGACAACUGGCCUGCUCUGACCACACCGGAGGAUGGUCAGUCUAUGCACGGCUGAAGCUUGAGGAUCCUGCAAGCUCUGCUCUAGUCACAUCCUGGAAGCUGACUAGUCUACGCACAGUCGAAGCUAAGAGGACCAUAUCCGGAUAAGUAAAUGUGGAUACAAUUUAUAAGCCUACUUACAAUUCUGUCAACACUGAUUGCUCUGCUGUUAUGUUAUCAUUGCAAAUGCUGCAAAUGUCUAUGCCCAGAGGAAGGUUUGCCAUGCCCAUGUAUAGUAUAGGCAUGUUUCUAUUACAUACACUGUUGUCGUUACCAUUUCUGCCUAUACUAGAAGGGGAGAAAUCUCUAGAAGGAUGUCCACACUGUGUACAUACUAUCUGGGCUUCCCCCUGCACAGAUCUCCCCUCGCCCCACAAAAUGCUUAAAAGGUAGCUUAACUCUGUUCAAGGCUGUGUCCUUUAAAUGUUAAUCUGACUGGUUUGGUGCAUCUAAAUAAUUAAAUAAUUCCUCCUCAACC